AAAUUACUCCCUCCGUCCCAAAAUUCUUGUCUUAGAUUUGUCUAGAGACGGAUGUAUCAAGUCACAUUUUAGUAUUAGAUACAUCCGUAUCUAGACAAAUCUAAGACAAGAAAUUUGGGACAGAGGGAGUAGUUG
rnacentral:pre_miRNA from 1 species